GAUGAACGCUGGCGGCGUGCCUAAUACAUGCCAGUCGAGCGAACGGACGAGAAGCUUGCUUCUCUGAUGUUAGCGGCGGACGGGUGAGUAACACGUGGAUAACCUACCUAUAAGACUGGGAUAACUUCGGGAAACCGGAGCUAAUACCGGAUAAUAUUUUGAACCGCAUGGUUCAAAAGUGAAAGACGGUCUUGCUGUCACUUAUAGAUGGAUCCGCGCUGCAUUAGCUAGUUGGUAAGGUAACGGCUUACCAAGGCAACGAUGCGUAGCCGACCUGAGAGGGUGAUCGGCCACACUGGAACUGAGACACGGUCCAGACUCCUACGGGAGGCAGCGGUAGGGAAUCUUCCGCAAUGGGCGAAAGCCUGACGGAGCAACGCCGCGUGAGUGAUGAAGGUCUUCGGAUCGUAAAACUCUGUUAUUAGGGAAGAACAUAUGUGUAAGUAACUGUGCACAUCUUGACGGUACCUAAUCAGAAAGCCACGGCUAACUACGUG
rnacentral:rRNA from 1 species